rnacentral:rRNA from 1 species
AUUGAACGCUGGCGGCAGGCCUAACACAUGCAAGUCGAACGAGUGGCGGACGGGUGAGUAAUGUCUGGAAAACUGCCUGAUGGCGGGGGAUAACUACUGGAAACGGUAGCUAAUACCGCAUACCAUCGGAUGUGCCCCGAUGGGUUUAGCUAGUAGGUGGGGUAAAGGCGCACCUAGGCGACUAUCCCUAGCUGGUCGGAGAGGAGGACCAGCAACACUGUGACUGAGACACGGUCCAGACUCCGACGGGAGGCAUCAGUGGGGAAUAUUGCACAAGGGGCGCAAGCCUGAUGCAGCCAUGCCGCGUGUAUGAAGAAGGCCUUCGGGUUGUAAAGUACUUUCAGCGGGGAGGCGUUACCCGCAGAAGAAGCACCGGCUAACUCCGUGCCAGCAGCCGCGGUAAUUC